rnacentral:rRNA from 1 species
GACGAACGCUGGCGGCGUGCUUAACACAUGCAAGUCGAACGGGAUUUAGUAAACAGAAGCCUCGGUGGAAGAUUACUAAUGAGAGUGGCGAAUGGGUGAGUAACGCGUGAGCAACCUGCCUAUGACAGUGGGAUAGCCUCGGGAAACCGGGAUUAAUACCGCAUAAAAUCGUAGAAACACAUGUUUUAACGGUCAAAGAUUUAUCGGUCAUAGAUGGGCUCGCGUCUGAUUAGCUAGUUGGUGAGAUAACAGCCCACCAAGGCGACGAUCAGUAGCCGGUCUGAGAGGAUGAACGGCCACAUUGGAACUGAGACACGGUCCAAACUCCUACGGGAGGCAGCAGUGGGGAAUAUUGCACAAUGGGGGAAACCCUGGUGCAGCGACGCCGCGUGAACGAAGAAGGUAUUCGUAUCGUAAAGUUCUGUCCUAUGGGAAGAUAAUGACAGUACCAUAGAAGAAAGCUCCGGCUAAAUACGUG